AUGCAAGAUCGGAGCACAACUGAUACAGGUGUCAAGCCGGGCACGAGUGACGCAGGUGAACGCCCAGAGCAGACUGCGCCUUUACCCGCAGUGGAAAUCCCCAGCAUAAAUCUGCGCACUUCCAGGCUCCCAGUCAAUGUCAGUGUCCCCUACAGCCCAAACAAGAAGAUUGUCAAAAAAGUUGCGGCUGAUACCGCUGAUAACACGCCCCGCCCUGCAAAUAAGCCCGAUCAUUCUGUAGCGGCCGAUUCAGAUAUGUUUGUCGAUCUUUCACCCUUGGAUUCUGCCCCGCAAGUUGUUCGUGGUCCGGCCAGUAGAAAUGAGAGGCACCCAAUGGCCUUUACCCCAUCGAGCUUCAGCCUUGGCAUCAGUCAAGAUCAACCGGUGGCGCAAGAUCCUAUGCCAGUUGCCUUUGCUUUCCCAGGAGGCAUGCCCGCAAUGAUGGCGCAGCCAAUGGUCGAGGGCAGGAAGGCUGUCAAGUUCGCAGAGCCGAUUGUGCAAGCCACCCCUGAGGAGAUUUCACCGUCACUUGACGAAGCUUACCGCAUGAUCGAGGAGGCAGCAUUGCAUAGGAGGUCCUCACAAGGGCAAGGGAAAUCAAGUUCCAACGUGCCUGCAGAUACGGUAUCUGAGGAUACCAUUAGGAGUGCCACUCCUGGUUCUGUGAGGCAGCAGAGGAUAGUUCACCCACCUCCCGCGGAAGACUAUGAGCCCGAAUUCAGGGCCACUAAGGAACAGACCCAGCUGUACGAUAUCGUCAAGCGGUUUGGAAAUGCGAGGGCCAGCAGCAAGCACAUGAAGGAGCUGAAAGCGUAA
rnacentral:rRNA from 1 species